GCCAGUGAAGCUAUUCUAUAUCGCGACUGAAAGUACAAAGUGCCAAACUUUGUAUAAUUGUUGAAAGUAAUGAACUAGGACGGUCUGAGGC